rnacentral:rRNA from 1 species
AGAGUUUGAUCCUGGCUCAGAACGAACGCUGGCGGCGCGUCUUAAGCAUGCAAGUCGAACGGCAAGAGAGGAGCUUGCUUCUCUCCUAGAGUGGCGGACUGGUGAGGAACACGUGGGUAAUCUACCCUUAAGAUGGGGAUAGCUGCUAGAAAUAGCAGGUAAUACCGAAUACACUCGGCAUAUCACAAGAGGUGUUGAGGAAAGGAAGCUACGGCUUCGCUUGAGGAUGAGCUUGCGUCCCAUUAGCUAGUUGGUGAGGUAAAGGCCCACCAAGGCGACGAUGGGUAUCCGGCCUGAGAGGGUGAACGGACACAUUGGGACUGAGAUACGGCCCAAACUCCUACGGGAGGCAGCAGCUAAGAAUAUUCCGCAAUGGACGGAAGUCUGACGGAGCGACGCCGCGUGGAUGAAGAAGGCUGAAAAGUUGUAAAAUCCUUUUGUUGAUGAAGAAUAAGGGUGAGAGGGAAUGCUCAUCUGAUGACGGUAAUCGACGAAUAAGCCCCGGCUAAUUACGUGCCAGCAGCCGCGGUAACACGUAAGGGGCGAGCGUUGUUCGGAAUUAUUGGGCGUAAAGGGCAUGUAGGCGGUUAUGUAAGCCUGAUGUGAAAUCCUGGGGCUUAACCCUAGAAUAGCAUUGGGUACUGUAUAGCUUGAAUUACGGAAGGGAAACUGGAAUUCCAAGUGUAGGGGUGGAAUCUGUAGAUAUUUGGAAGAACACCGGUGGCGAAGGCGGGUUUCUGGCCGAUAAUUGACGCUGAGAUGCGAAAGUGUGGGGAUCGAACAGGAUUAGAUACCCUGGUAGUCCACACCGUAAACGAUGUACACUAGGUGUUGGGGCAAGAGCUUCAGUGCCAAAGCAAACGCGAUAAGUGUACCGCCUGGGGAGUAUGCCCGCAAGGGUGAAACUCAAAGGAAUUGAC